rnacentral:rRNA from 1 species
GACGAACGCUGGCGGCGUGCUUAACACAUGCAAGUCGAACGAUGAAGCCGGAGCUUGCUCUGGUGAAUUAGUGGCGAACGGGUGAGUAACACGUGGGUAACCUGCCCUUGACUCUGGGAUAACUGCGGGAAACUGUAGCUAAUACCGGAUACGACCAUCGGAGGCAUCUCCUGGGGGUGGAAAGAAUUUCGGUCAAGGAUGGACUCGCGGCCUAUCAGCUAGUUGGUGAGGUAAAGGCUCACCAAGGCGACGACGGGUAGCCGGCCUGGGAGGGUGACCGGCCACACUGGGACUGGGACACGGCGCAGACUCGUACGGGAGGCAGCAGUGGGGAAUAUUGCACAAUGGGCGCAAGCCUGAUGCAGCAACGCCGCGUGAGGGAUGACGGCCUUCGGGUUGUAAACCUCUUUUAGCAGGGAAGAAGCGAAAGUGACGGUACCUGCAGAAAAAGCACCGGCUAACUACGUGCCAGCAGCCGCAGUAA